rnacentral:rRNA from 1 species
UAGGGAAUCUUCCGCAAUGGACGCAAGUCUGACGGAGCAACGCCGCGUGAGUGAAGAAGGAUUUCGGUUCGUAAAACUCUGUUGUUAGAGAAGAACAGCGCAUAGAGUAACUGUUAUGCGUGUGACGGUAUCUAACCAGAAAGCCACGGCUAACUACGUGCCAGCAGCCGCGGUAAUACGUAGGUGGCAUGCGUUGUCCGGAUUUAUUGAGAGUAAAGCGAGCGCAGGCGGUCAAUUAAGUCUGAUGUGAAAGCCCCCGGCUCAACCGGGGAGGGUCAGUGGAGACUGGUUGACUUGAUUGCAGAAGGGGAGAGUGGAAUUCCAUGUGUAGCGGUGAAAUGCGAAGAUAUAUGGAGGAACACCGGUGGCGAAAGCGGCUCUCUGAACUGAAACAGACGCUGAGGCUCGAAAGCGUGGGGAGCGAACAGG